rnacentral:rRNA from 1 species
UACGGAGGAUGCGAGCGUUAUCCGGAUUUAUUGGGUUUAAAGGGUGCGUAAGCGGGCUUUUAAGUCAGCGGUAAAAAUUCGGGGCUCAACCCCGUCCGGCCGUUGAAACUGGGGGUCUUGAGUGGGCGAGAAGAAGGCGGAAUGCGUGGUGUAGCGGUGAAAUGCAUAGAUAUCACGCAGAACCCCGAUUGCGAAGGCAGCCUUCCGGCGCCCUACUGACGCUGAGGCACGAAAGUGCGGGGAUCGAACAGG